UUUUUUUUUUUUUUACUAGACAUCUAUAUUACAAUAAAUUAUGAAUGCAUAAAGAUUUUAAUGUGAGUAUAAAAAAGUAAUAUUUUACUAGGCUUUUAGUAGAAAAAAUACCAAAUGGAUAAAAUAAAGAAGCUCGUUAUUGUUCAUUAAAAUAACAUAAAGUUUAAACUUCCUAACAAAAUGCAUUUUUGAUAAGGAAAACUUCUCGGGUACAAAAAUUGUUGAUGAACAAUAAAUGAGAAUACAUGUUUACAAAGUGUUACAAAUGUUAAGUGGAUAUUGCACAUAUGUCAAAAAGGGUACAUAUUUUUUUCGUUUCAUGCUAGAUAUACUUUAUAAAAACGUUUACACAAAACUUCAAUCGUUUACUUAUAUAAUGGCGUGCUCAGGAAGUAAAGCUUUGUUGUCAGUGAAAAACUUUACAAAGAAUUUACGAGGACCCUGGAAAUACGUUGCAAAUCAUAUUUGUGCCACCAUAUGGUGGAGACAUUAAGUAUAAAGGUUAAACCUGACAUAUACCUACUAUAAACAAAAGAAACGCAGCAAAAGUGUGACUUAAAAAUUGAAACAAUGCAGACCCCUGUUACUGAAGUAAUAAUUUCAUUUGACAUUUACCAGUUUUUGCAAGCAAAAAAAUGUCAACAACCUCGAAAAACACCCUACCUAUGCUCAUUUUGUUGUAAUAAAUAAAUGUAUUAAUGAAAAGCUCUAUUAUUUGAUUAAAUAAUUUUAUAAAAUAAAAUAUAAAAACAAUAUUAAAAACAGAAAAAUAAUUUCCAGUAAUUGCCUAUGAAUAAUACUUCAAACAAUUUUUUUUUCAAU